GGAGGGGUGCCCGAGUGGCCAAAGGGAGCUGACUGUAAAUCAGCCGCGUCUACGCUUCGAAGGUUCGAAUCCUUCCCCCUCCA
rnacentral:tRNA from 1 species